rnacentral:rRNA from 1 species
ACAGUAGAGCUUGCUCUAUGGGUGGCGAGUGGCGGACGGGUGAGUAAUGCAUCGGGAUCUACCCAAACGUGGGGGAUAACGUAGGGAAACUUACGCUAAUACCGCAUACGUCCUAUGGGAGAAAGCGGGGGAUCGCAAGACCUCGCGCGGUUGGACGAACCGAUGUGCGAUUAGCUAGUUGGUAGGGUAAUGGCCUACCAAGGCGACGAUCGCUAGCUGGUCUGAGAGGAUGAUCAGCCACACUGGAACUGAGACACGGUCCAGACUCCUACGGGAGGCAGCAGUGGGGAAUAUUGGACAAUGGGCGCAAGCCUGAUCCAGCAAUGCCGCGUGUGUGAAGAAGGCCUUCGGGUUGUAAAGCACUUUUAUCAGGAGCGAAAUGCCAUUGGUUAAUACCCGGUGGAGCUGACGGUACCUGAGGAAUAAGCACCGGCUAACUUCGUGCCAGCAGCCGCGGUAAUACGAAGGGUGCAAGCGUUAAUCGGAAUUACUGGGCGUAAAGCGUGCGUAGGCGGUGACUUAAGUCUGCUGUGAAAUCCCCGGGCUCAACCUGGGAAUGGCAGUGGAUACUGGGUCGCUAGAGUGUGAUAGAGGAUGGUGGAAUUCCCGGUGUAGCGGUGAAAUGCGUAGAGAUCGGGAGGAACAUCAGUGGCGAAGGCGGCCAUCUGGAUCAACACUGACGCUGAG